AAGGCUUCACUUGGACAGGAGGUCAGAGAGGAUCAGAAGCUCUCAUCUCUACAGCUUCAACAUUAACUAUGUUUGCUGUAGCUCUGCUGCUCCUGAUGGCAGCUGGAAACGGUGUGAAGUGUGAACAGCUGACUCAGCCACAAUCUGUGACUGUGCAGCCAGGUCAACGUCUCUCCAUCACCUGUCAGGUCUCUUAUUCUGUGAGCACCUACAAAACACAAUGGAUCAGACAACCUGCAGGAAAAGGACUGGAGUGGAUUGGUUAUGACACAACCUUUAAAGAUUCACUGAAGAACAAGUUCAGUGGCAUCGAAGAUUCUUCCAGCAACAGAGUGACUCUGAAUGGACAGAAUAUGCAGCCUGAAGACUCUGCUGUGUAUUACUGUGCCAGAGACACACAGUGACACAAAUGAUCAGUAGCCCUGAACAAAAACCCCUCAGUGUCUGAACACUUGUAACAUGAAGCCACCAGAGGAGGAGCCCUCAGACCAGGAAUGAAUUCAGACCAGUUCACUCAGUAAAACUCUCUUUGCUGUCAAUCUUUGCUCCAUUAGCAGCUCAGAGGACUUUCAAAAAACAAAAAUCUACUCUAAUAUUAUCUCAAAUAACAAAGUGAUCGUUCAAGGGGCCUCCAUCAGCAAAAAAUUAGUUUGUCAAUUUAUUG